rnacentral:rRNA from 1 species
AGAACGAACGCUGGCGGCAGGCUUAACACAUGCAAGUCGAACGCCCCCGCAAGGGGAGUGGCAGACGGGUGAGUAACGCGUGGGAAUCUACCCAGUUCUACGGAAUAACUGAGGGAAACUUCAGCUAAUACCGUAUAAGCCCUACGGGGGAAAGAUUUAUCGGGACUGGAUGAGCCCGCGUUGGAUUAGCUAGUUGGUGGGGUAAUGGCCUACCAAGGCGACGAUCCAUAGCUGGUCUGAGAGGAUGAUCAGCCACACUGGGACUGAGACACGGCCCAGACUCCUACGGGAGGCAGCAGUGGGGAAUAUUGGACAAUGGGCGAAAGCCUGAUCCAGCCAUGCCGCGUGAGUGAUGAAGGCCUUAGGGUUGUAAAGCUCUUUCAGUGGGGAAGAUAAUGACGGUACCCACAGAAGAACGCCCCGGCUAACUUCGCGCCAGCAGCCG